CUGAACAAGGAGGAGGGAGAGGAGGAACAUUUCCCCAAACUGCUCUGGGCUCACAAGGUUGGGCUUGCCCCAGCCCUCCCACCUUUGCCAAGCCCAGAGUGCACCAAGAAGACAGGACUUUCAAGAGGUCCCUGGAGCCAGUAGUUUGACCUUGAACACAGGCGACACUCUCUGGCAGAAACUUCAUUGUUUUGCCCAAUACAGUCAAAUCCAGAAAAAGAAAGAAGAUAAUUCUCAUCUGAUCAGCCCCAAAGCUUUCCUUGAAGAUGAUGGACUGGUGAGCACCAGCAAAUCAGCCUCUUCAAGAGUUGGGAGUCCAGAUGUUGGACUAUAGCAAUGUGGGUAAGAGAAGAAGGAAGGAAGUGAGUCCCCUGAACCCACAAGGCUCUGAAAUGAGAAUUGGAGCCCAAGGUUUCUCCUCUGUUAUUUCCCUCUGCCAUGCUGUCCUGCCUUGGAGCCAGUCGACUGUGGACUAACACCAUGAGCGAAAAUAAACCCCUCCUCCUUUAAGUUGCACUGCUUUUGGACAUUCUAGUUUUUUGUGCUUCCAAAAGAAGAAAAAAAGAGUAAAGGAGUUUGGAUAAAUGAGCACCAGCCCUUUAAAGCAUCUGGAAAUCAUAUCAGCCAGAGAGGAAGGGAUUAAAACAGUGGAAGAAGGGAGAAAUAGAUAUGCCAUUGGAAUAAAACUCAUCAAAGGAAGGUACACAAAUAUACAGAUGUACACAGAUGAUGAGAGAGACAUCAUAUUUGACCUGGAACCCAGGCUUUGAAUUUGUUUCUAUUCAACCAUCACUUUAAGUCUGCUGUAAAUGAGGGCAUUACACAGCAAAGGCAUGAAUGAGACCCAGGUGUGCCUCGGGAGUGUGCCCAUGAGAGCGAUGUCUCUGGCCAGCUCCUCAGUCUGAACACUGUUCUCUCUCUCAUUGCCUGGAAACCUGCUGUUCUCCAUGACUGGAAGAUGAGCAAACACACCUGUGUGUCCAAGCUGAAGGUUUUUGCCCACUUGAUAUUGAGUGAAGAAUUAUCUUAGGCUGCAUAUAAAAUAUAUGACACACUUAAUUUACAUAAGUAGCAAAACUUUCUUUAAAAAUAUUUUUAUUUUAACUUUUUAAAAAGAGUGAGAAAAAAGGGUGAGCUACAGAUUGGACACAUUCAUGGGGAAACUUCCCUGGCUGAGGUAGUCCUAUGAUAGGUAGACCCACGUGUAUCCAGAAGCUGACUACAGACACAUUUAGCCAUCCAAGAUAAGAAAAAUUUCCUAGCUGAGCUUAGUUCAACAACAGCAUGCAGAAUUUUGAACUAAAUAAAUGGUGCUGUGUAAGCUGCUAAGUUUUGGGGUUAUUGUACAAAAUCUGAUAUAACUGGCUCCAAGAGAACAAAACCAGUGAAUUAUUUGUUUGAAAAAAAAGAUAGCAUCUUAAAGAUGUGGUAAUCAUAUCAGUCCUCAAGACCUAGAGUCAGAGGAUUUUGAAGAAUGAGCAGCAGUUUGGGUUGAAUCUUUUCUUUUUCAAUUGAUUUCAAUUUUCUUUUUCUAUUCAUUGAUCACAAAAUUCACCCUUUUAAAGUACAGGAUCCAUUUGAUUUAGAUAUAUUCAUAAGCUUAUUAAAUUAUCAUUGCUAAUUCCAGAGUUUUUUUAUCACCCCUAAAAGUCACCCUAUACACAUUAACAACAAUUCCUCAUUUCCCUCUUGCCUAACUCCCUUGUAACCACUAAUGUAUUUUUUGUCACUAUGAAUUUGUCUAUUCUGGAUGUUUCAUAUGAAUAAAAUCACACAUUAUGUGUUUUUUUA